rnacentral:lncRNA from 1 species
AUAUGUUUGUUAACAGUCAUAGGAUAAAGAGGGUCUGGAAAAGGAGAGAGGUGGGUGUUCUUCAAUUCUUAAUAUUAUUUACGCCAUUUUUUCUCUAUUCUAUAUAAAUUUUGCCCAUUAUUCUCUUUUUUUUAUAUUCAAGAAGCCCACUAUUCUCUAUUCUUAAAUUUUUGGCCUAUCCUUUUCUUUUCUAUUCUUUAUUUUUUUAGCCCAUUAUUCUCUAUUCUGUAAAACUCCAUCCACACCCUCAUAUAGAAGAUGCCAUUCUAGUUAUCUACGUCUUUUUUUAUUUCACUUAAUUAUUAUGAUUGUAUCUCUUAAUGUUAUUUUUUUUUCUUUUUUAAAAGUAGUGUCUUUUUCUAAUACCCCAGUCCCACUAGGCCACGAUCGCACUACGAUCUGUGAAAAAAAAUGCAAAUUUUGAUGAUCGUAGUACGAUCGUGUAGAUCGCAGUAAGGUCGUAUCACGGUCGUGGUGAGGUCUUCAAGAUCGUGAUGAGCGUGGCUAACUUUGAACAUGUUCAAAACAAUCGUGGUGCGGUCGUGGCGAAAUCAGAUCGUAGUAGAAGCGUAGUGAGAGCGCACUAAAAUCGUAGUAAGAUCGCAAAGGUCGCUGUACCAUCGUAGCGAGAGCGUGAUUCUAUUCGGAGAAACUGCGCUACGAUCUCAUUGCGACGUUAUUACGACCUCACUACGACCAUCACGUUCUCAUCGCGACCCAAUUACUCUCCACUACGACUAUACCACGCUAUUCACGACCAUAGUACGAUUCUAGCACGCCCUUGCCGUCGUCAUCACGCUCUUCUUACGACCUGACUACGUUCAUACUACGAUCAUCAUUCUCAUUGUCAUUUUCAC